rnacentral:rRNA from 1 species
CAGUCGCCGCGGGAAUACGGAGGGUGCAAGCGUUAUCCGGAUUUAUUGGGUUUAAAGGGUCCGUAGGCGGAUCUGUAAGUCAGUGGUGAAAUCUCACAGCUUAACUGUGAAACUGCCAUUGAUACUGCAGGUCUUGAGUAAAUUUGAAGUGGCUGGAAUAAGUAGUGUAGCGGUGAAUUGCAUAGAUAUUACUUAGAACACCAAUUGCGAAGGCAGGUCACUAAGAUUUAACUGACGCUGAUGGACGAAAGCGUGGGGAGCGAACAGGAUUAGAUACCCGGGUAGUCCCUGUCUCUUAUAC